rnacentral:rRNA from 1 species
UACGAAGGGGGCUAGCGUUGUUCGGAAUUACUGGGCGUAAAGCGCACGUAGGCGGACAUUUAAGUCAGGGGUGAAAUCCCAGAGCUCAACUCUGGAACUGCCUUUGAUACUGGGUGUCUUGAGUAUGGAAGAGGUGAGUGGAAUUCCGAGUGUAGAGGUGAAAUUCGUAGAUAUUCGGAGGAACACCAGUGGCGAAGGCGGCUCACUGGUCCAUUACCGACGCUGAGGUGCGAAAGCGUGGGGAGCAAACAGG